GCUGGGAUGAUGGUCCUGAGCCACUGCAUCUGGCCUAACUGCUUUUAACCACCUUUAUUUUUCAAGAAUUUUUGGCUUGACACAUCCAGAGCCCAAACAGAAGAGGUCUUCAGAUUUGACCCACGCAUUUCUUGCCAGAAGAAUUUAUAUAUGAAGGCGUUGUGCAAGUUAUUAAUGUUAAAAGGAAUUUCCUCCUCCAGUAAAAAAUCUGAAAUAAAAUUAAUAUUGGCACAAUCUGAGACUAAGAAGAGACACUGGCCAUCCAGGAGUUUCCAUAGGCCACGCUCCAAUGUGAGCUUUCACCACUAGAGGGCGUGAUCUGAAUUGUGCACUCAGCGUUUCUUCCAAGAGUAAUCGUUCCCAACAAGGAAAGACCGUUUUACAGCCCUCAGUACCGCAGUUCCAUGAACUUGCUCAGCUUGGCAGCCGCAGCUAAGGACACCCGUGGUAGUAAAAGCGGGAAGAUGGGCUCCCUGGCUCUUCUUACCAAACUCUGAUUGUUUGGAGCAGUUUGACCAUCAUUUAGCCAGGAAGACACCAGAAGGAUGGCGUGCUGGCCACCAUUGCAUUGCCAGCACAUGAGAGUAGGUGUGUGAAAUGUACACCCUGGGUACACAGAAUUGCCUGCAGACAAAUAUUUAUUGACAGUUAAGAAAAUGCAUUAAGAAUGAGCAUGAGUUCCUGUCCUUAAGAGAGUGCUAGAAGGGAGACUGCUGUCCCCACAAUGGCUGCAGCCCCAUUCCUUUUUCCAAGCUGCCUGGGUGAACAUUCCAGGAUCCUGACAUUCUGUGGAAAUUGAUGAGUGCUUGCUCAAAGGUCGAUGAUGUGCUACAGAUGGCAUCACCUGUUAGAGACAGAGCUUUCUCAAGAGGAGCUUUGAUUUCCUUUACUUCCCGAACUGCUAUUUCACAGUCUCUCAGUAGAUGUCAGCAGCACAGCAAACAUCUCACUGCCCAUCAUGGAAGCAGGAAACCGAGGCUCCAGAGAGCUGGGUAUCUUUCCAAGGCCUUGACACUGGGAGGUGAUGAGUCACGGUUGGCUCUAAAGCCCAAGCUCUUUUCUUCACACCUUGAUGCCGUCUAGCCUGUCCAUGGACCAAUUAGAGCCAGUGACCAACAGGUAUAUCAAAAUGACAUCCCUCCUGGAUGGCACAUCCUCCCCAGACAGCCUGCCCAUUCCCUGGCUCUGACAGGCUAGCAAAUCCCUGAUAACCUCGGAAUGCCUCAAGUUGUGUCAAUGAAGGGCAUUGAGACUUUGAUGUUGGACAGAUGCCCCAUGAUGGAUGGGCACUGGCUGAUACAGUUUCCCACGGUGACUCAGAAGUGCGAAGGAGAAAGGAGGGCUGAGGUGCCAGCUCCAGGCAGGCCAGGCACCCCAGAUGUCAGCACCUGCCCGACUGCCUCUGACAUACCCUCAGACAUACCUUUUGGCAUGUGGAGCCCCAGGUGCCUUUCUUCAUGUCCAGAUAGGAAGACUCAUCUUAAGGGGUGUGGCAGCAACUGAGCAUGUGUACCACCACCUGAGCUGUAGUUCUUGUUUCUGUAAGAGAAAAUGCUCCCACAUUAUCCUACUACACUCUAGACCUCAAAGGUGAGGCAGAGCGUGAGUCAAGGGAUCUGAAAUGAAAGCAGUUGUAGUGAAAAGCCCAUGAAAUAUAGCGCUCAAGGGUAGCUGAGUCUUGCAGGCUGUAAUUUAUGCUGUUUCCUGCUUUGAGAAUGUAUCCCAACCUUUUGGUUACUAGAAAGCCUCAAUUUGAAUAGUAAAAGACCUGAAUUCUGGGUCCUCUAACUUCUCUUCAUGUGUGGCUCAGUCUAACCUGUAGUUUAAGACUCAGACACCAUGCCUUCCAGGAAGCCUUCCUUGAUGUCUCCAAUUCUACAUUAAUUCCUCCAGUAUGAGCUUCCACAGUAACUUAAUCUUACCCUGAGGUGUCUAUAUCAAACUGCUUCCUCACUUGAGGGAAGGCACCAGGUCUUGUUUACAUUUUUGCUCUAUAUCACUACAACACAAGAGAGAAUGUGAUAAAGGUUGUAACAGACCCAGAAAAACCACUCUAGGAGCUCUGAGAAGGGUAGUUCAUGUAAAUACACACACAUAUACAUAUAGUUCAUGUAAAUAUAUGUAUGUAUACACACACACACACACACACACACAGCCUUCAUCAAGGAAGAGAUUGCUCUUAGGAUGUUUUCAGAUUCAAGAUGCUGUAAAAUUUGUAUUGAUGAUUGCUUUUCUUUCUAUCCCUUGUAAUUUCUACACUUACAGCUCAUUGUUCUUCUCAUAGCAUUAAAGUCUUCAGCAUCUGG